UGGAAAGGCGGGGCCUCAGAGUAGCAUCCGGGACACAAAUUACGUUAGAGGAAGAAGGGCCGUGGUGUAGGCGGAGCGCGAGGGCGUGACGCAUACGUGAGGGCGUGGCGAAGAUGGUCCGGCUCGAAGGAGGGGUGACCCAGGCGGAAGGCAGAGGCGGGACCAAGUUAGUGCGCAGGCGCGUGGUUGCGGCUGCAGGCUCCGAGCGACGGCAGCAGAGGUGUAGCCGGGGCAGAGACGGGGUGCGGACCCAGGCUCUGGGUGGACGGAGAGAGAUUCGGGCUCCGACGCGGUUAUUAGGUUCCUGCAAGUUAUUUGGGGCCCGGUCAAGAUUUCAAGCUAAACAUGGUGGCGAUGAGUAGCCUGAGGGUCAUUCUUCAAGCCUCUCCAUGCAAGUCACUGUGGAGAAGAUUGCAGACCGCCAGGUUCGUGCCAGCGAGGCCCUGCAGCCUCUACACCUGCACGUACAAAAGCCGGAACCGAGCCUUGCACCCGCUCUGGGAGACCGUGGACCUGGUCCCGGGGGGCGAGCGCCAGUCGCCCAUCAACAUCCGGUGGAGGGACAGCGUCUAUGAUCCUGGCUUAAAACCGCUCACCAUCUCUUACGACCCCACCACCUGCCUCCAUGUCUGGAAUAACGGGUACUCUUUCCUCGUGGAAUUUGAAGAUUCUGCAGAUAAAUCAGAUGAAGUGAAGCUCCGUGAAGUUCACUGCUUCCUUGCCAGGUCAUACAGCUGACAGCUGGAGAACUGGAUGGAAAAUCUGCAGACCACACUCUCUGCAGGGUCUCUGAGCUCCUGGAGGCUCAGCAGGUGCAGGCCUCCUGCAAACUCUGGAGGCGGAGUGUUGUCAGGGUGCCCCAGGUUUGUUUUCAUCAGCUACACAUCAUGAAGAGCUACAGAAAUUGGUGGACACUGUGCCGUCAAUUAAGCAUAAGGACACCCUUGUGGAAUUUGGGUCGUUUGAUCCUUCCUGCCUGAUGCCUGCCUGCCCAGAUUACUGGACCUACUCGGGAUCCCUGACUACCCCGCCACUCUCCGAGUCCGUCACCUGGAUCAUUAAGAAGCAGCCCAUAGAGGUUGAUCAUGAUCAGUGUCAGGUACAAAAGCCGAAGCCCUCGUGGCCCCCCUGCCUAGAAGCCAAGCGUCUGGGACCUGCAGUGGGAGCUGGAGGUUCCCCUGUCCUCAGCGGCGGGCACCCGGGGCAGUCGCUGUGUCCGCGGGGCCCUGGCCUGGCUCGUGCCGGACCCGUGUCCAGAGCGUUCCCCACGUGAGACUCCAUGUGCCGCCCUCGCGCCCUGAUACCAACAGUCGCUCUUAGACCUGCGAGUUCCCCGUCUGCCGACACUUGGGGCACUUGUGAAGGCCGGAUUUCCCCGUCAAAGGCCCCAACCCCGCCGCA